GAACAUUAAAUCUCACAUGUGUCUGCCCCAGGAAGUUGGUGGAGAGCAUGCAUAAUCUCUGCCAGUGUACAGACUGUCUUCAGUAUAUAGACAUAUGAAAGGUUUUCUGCCAAGAAAUUUUUUCUAUUGCUUGUGUGAAAUAGAGCAGGUGGCCUUACUCUUCAUAACUGACUUUGAGGCUGCUGUAGUUGGAACUAUUGUAGCUCUAGAAAAGAAAUGUUUUAUUCAAUUUUAAUAAAUGAAUAAUAAAGAGCAAAGGAAUAAAUGCAAAAAAAUAGGAUGAAACAUCAUAUAGAGGACUGAGCAUACAUUAAGUAGGACUGUAGCCACUUCAAAGCAAGUGUACACAGAUCUUUGGUCAGAGGUUGGUAAACUAUGGCUGCAGGCCAAAUUCAGCCCCUGAUCUGUUUUUCUGUGGCCUGUAACAUAAGAAUGGUUUUACUUUUUUUUUUUUUUCCAAAUAGAGAUAGGGUCUGGUUCUGUCGCUCAAGCUGGAGUGCAGUGACGCAAAGGUAGCUCACUGCGGCCUUGAACUUCUGGGCACAAGCAGUCCUCUGCCUCAGGCUCUAGAGUAGCUGGCUGGGACUACAGGCAUAUGCAGCCAUGCCCAGCUAAUUAUUUUUAUUUUUUGUAGAGAUGGUGUCUCACUGUGUUACCCAGGCAGGUCUCAAACUCCUGAGCUCAAGUGAUUCUCCCACCUUCAGCCUCCCAAAGUCCUGAGAUUACAGGCAUGAGUUACUGUGCCUGGCCUGCCUUUUUAACGGCUUAAAAGAAAUGAAGAAUAGGCGACACAGAGCACAGGUGGUCUGUAAAGUCUAAAAUAUGUAAAAGAAAAAAAAAGAAAAAAGUUGGUGAUGCCUGGUUUAUAUUUUGAUAAUCUUUGUAUGAUAGAUCUACUUUAAAACUCAACCAAGAGGGUUUAUCUGAAAUAUCAAAAAGCCUUUGUCUUUCUAAAAACAUGUAAAAAAAAAGGCCUUUGUCACAUUAUAAUUUUAUUUAAACCACACCCAAUAGCACUGAACCAAAGGACAAUAUUCUGGCAGAAUGACAGUGGCAGUGGUGGCGCAUACAUAUUAGACCUUUUACUUUCUUGCAUAUCAUUUGUCUCACCUAGAAAACAAGCUCCACGUCGGCAAGGAUUUUAGAUUACUCUGUUCAUGCUUUAUCCCUAGCCUUGAAACAGUGCUUAAUUAUGUUCUGGGGACUCAUGAAUAUUUGUCAGAUGAAAAAAAGAAAGAAAAUGCUGUAGCAUGAGAGAUUGCUUAUUUGUAAUAUGGGUGCCACAUUUUGUUGCCAAAAAUCAUUUAUAAUGGAACUUAGAGCUUAUAGCAAUUGUUUGAGAAGUCCUGCAUUUGUCCAAGUGGUUUCUAACAGUUAACCAGGAAAACAGUACCUUUGGAAGAGGAAUAAAUGUGCCUUUCCUGCCUGUUCACGUUUUGUAAUUAACGUUUCAUUUCUUUCUAUAUUAAAUCAAAAGUAUCUUCUCUAGAAAAUUAUUAUUUUCUCCCAUUGCCAGAUUUGUCAGACUUUCUAAAAUUAUAGGCCUCUUAGUUUUCUUUAACCUUUAAUUGAAAAUUUUCACAUAUUCAUUACUUCUGUUUAACUACUUGGAAUUAUUUGCUUUUCUAAUGUUUUUCGUAUAAAUACAUGUUAAGUUAUUUAGGAUUAUUUCCUUCUACUGUGGCAUGGUUGUGAAACAUUUUAUCAUACCCUGACCCUCAUAGGCAUCUCAAUUUGUAUUUGUUGUUUGGUUGUCUCAUAGGAAACUGACAUGUUAACAAUUUGAAAUGUGAAGAACUGUGCUUUUUUUUUUUCCCUAAGUCUGUAGGGCAAAAGUUAGACUUCUAGUGUCAGUUUAAUACCAACUUGCAAUUCUAUAGGACUUAUUCUACAUAAAAUUUCCAUUAGACCAUUGUAUAUGUUAAAAGACCUGAAAUUAAUCAUUUUAAAUUGCCAUAGGUUGUUUUAAGUAUACCUUUAUUCUUUAAUUCCACCUCACUUGGAGCACUUGCUGGGGAAAAUAAUGAAAAGAGGAAGAAGAAAGAUGUUUUCUGCCUUUUCUGACUCUGGUAUGUAGGAUAUUUUCCACCUUUUAUGGUUCACUGAAUGUACUUAAAAGUACAUGAUCCCACGCCAGUGUUAUUGUGAGGUUCUUAAACAGUGUGGGAAAGUUAAUUAGGUUUUAAAUCCAUUAAUGCACAGCAAAAAUCCCCCAAUGACAAGGUAUAAUUUAGAUGUAUUAAUCUAUUAUGGGAAAUACUACUUAAGGCUUCAUUGUUUGGGGUGUCUACUAAUAUACUUGUUUUCAUUGCUAUAGUAGGAAUUUAAUCAUCAUAAAUACAGUGUGCCAGCAGUUGGUGAGAUAAGUUGCUUUUAAAAAAAAUGAUGAUGAGGGAAUCAAGCAUUGUGGAUUAUAAUGAUCAAACUCUCAAACUCUAUUUCCAUUUACUGUUACCAAGUUUAAUAAGUGUCGGACUUCCCACUGUCACCUAAGUAUAUCAAUAUUUUGUUUUAAAGAAACUUCUUUACCUGAUACAGUAGGAAGAUGUAGGAUUUUCCUUUUGUUUACUAAGAAGAAAUAUAUCUGUUGACAGGUAUAAAUAAUGAACUUUGAGUAAAUCUACAGUAUAGUGAAAUUUAUCAAUACAAGGAAAUCUAUAUACAAUUGGCCCUGUGUAUCCAUGGGUUCUGCACCUGUGGGUUCAACCAACCACUGAUUGAAAAUAUCUGGAAAAAAAUUGUCUAUACCAAACAUGUACAGAUAUAUUUUCUUGUCUUUAUUUCCUAAACAAUACAGUAUAACAACUAUUUACAUAGUGUUUACAUUGUAUUAGGUAUUAUAAGUAAUCCAGAGCUGCUUUAAAGUAUACCAGAGGAUGUGCUAGGUUAUAUUUAAAUACUAUGGCAUUUUAUAUAAGAGACUCCAGCAUCUGCUGAUUUUGUGUCUAUAGGGAGUCCUGGAACCAACACCCAUGGGUACUGAGGAAUAUCUGUAUCCAUAUCUUAUAAAAUAUAUAAUAAAUGUUUAAAAAUAUAUAUAUGAUAUUUUGGCCAAAAAGCAGGAUAAUCAUUUUAGGCCCAUAGAAUGCAGAGUUCUUCAAUCAUUUAAAAUCAGUUCCCUGUAACGUUUCUCACUUUAUCUUUUGCUUAUUCUCAUUAAAGCUAAGAUUUUUGUUGAACUUUACUUUCUCUGGUUUGUAAAAUGAAACUCAAAGUUUAUUUUCUGAGGUUUAUAUAAUAAAAGCAAUACAUGUAUUUCAAUCGCUUAUUUCAUGUAACUAGAGAGAUCUGGGAACCCCUUCCCACCUUACUCUCUACCUCACUGUAGUUUCAGAUCUCCUGCCUCCAUUCAACAGGUUUUUCUUGAGUACCUGCUACAAACCCAGUACUCAGUAAAAAUAAUGAGUGAGGUGCCAGCCUUCCUGGAGGUUACGGUGGAAUGAGAGGGACACACACAUAUGUAGCUAAUUUUAAAUAACAGUUCCUGAUUUGCUCCCUUCCCAUUAGGACUGGGGGUAAAUUUGUAAUUAAAGGAAAAUCUUUUAGUUUUCAGGAAGUUAUUAAUUUGAUACAUCUAUUUAAAAGCCCAAUUUUUUUUUAUUGAUAUCUUUUUCAAGAUAGGGACGAUUGAAAUAGAGAAGGAAGAGCUCAGUAUCAAUACAAACUCCCUGUUUGUUUACCCAAUAUUUGAGAACCAAUUUUAAAGUUGCUAGUUUCAGAAAAAUAUAAAUUUAAGUAAGUUAUUAAUCCAGAUGUGUUAGGCUGGGUCAUUGGAGAAGCAAAUGCCAAGACAGGAUUAAACAUGCAAACGUUUUAGUAAGAGAAACACCUGAGAGAGAAAUGGGACAGGAGGGGCAAGGCCAGGAGGGAGACGCAUGUCAGUUUAGGGUGCUAGUCUGAGCGCAGUGAUGGAGAGAGGGCAGGAAAGUUGGAGGGAAGUGUCCCAGGUAGCUGGGCAAGGCCCUCAGGAGUCCUGCAUUGGUAACCCUGCUGUACUCCAUCAUUUGCUGGGAGCAGCAUGUGGGAGCUGUGGCCUUGGCGCAAAUGCAGCAGAUGGUUUCAGCAGCCAGCAGCUGGGCCCUUCCUUGGUCAGUUAGCUCCCUGUUAUUGGAGAUCUGUAAGGUGCGUACUCAUGGCUGCCUUCCUCCCACCCCACAAUAUUGUACUUUAUAUAUUAAAAGUGCCCUAGGCUGUGCGGGCUUGAGACAGGGGCCAGUCUCCCUGCACUUUGAGUUACCAGUGCAGACUACCUGGAAUCUUCAUUGUUUAAGAGGGCCCUAAGCUUCCUGUGAAAAAAUGGCAACUGAUUGUUUGGCCCUAGGAUCCUAAAAUUAAUUCUUUAAUUAAUUAAUUGAGUCAUGAGAGGAAAGAAUACAAACUACCCCUCUUCUGAGUUUCCUGGGGUUGGUAGGAACAAUCUUUACUGUAGGAGAGUCUGCUUACCCCUGGGAUAUUGCUUGAUUGAUUUCAAGGGAAAAGCACUGCUUUCUUUUUUGAGCGUGAUUUGGAGUAAGUGCAUUAUAGAGUUGGGUACCCAAAGUAUUCUUCAAAUUAUUCAACUUUCCUCAGGAGAGAUAACUACACAGAAAGAGAGGGCAAGAGUAUGUGAGAGCACAUGAGCAAGCACUGUUUCUCUUUAGAAUUAAAGAUUUAUCAUUAACAGAAAGAAAAUUUAUUCCUAGCUUUUAGGAUCAUUGGAGAGCAGUAAUUGGGUUGGGGGUAACAAGUACUAAAAGUGUCGAUGCUAAUUGUUGGGAUAGCAAUCACUCAAGGGCUGAUCUCUCUCUGAGAGAGAUGAAAAUACUAGUUUCAUUGAUCGCUAUGGAGAGUUGAGGAAAAUAGGCUUCAAGAGUUUAAGGACAGGAAAAGAGAGCAUGUUUGAAAGGUUCAUCCAUGUGAUAGCAUGUGUCAGUACUUCAUUCAUUUGCCAAAAUAUUUUAUUUCAUAGACAUACCACAUUUUGUUUAUCCACUCAUCAGUUAAUAGACAUUCGAGUUCGGAAAAGAAGGCUGGCCAGAUGAUGUUGAGCUAUACUGAUUGUGUGAAGGAUGUUUAAAUUCCAUUUUUAUGUCACUGAGAAGGAUUUUGUGGAGGAGAAUAUGAUUUCAUUCAUCUCAAUGGAAGAUCACUUUAGCUGUUAUGUGUAGAAUGGAUCAGAGGAGGACAAGAAUCGACAAAGGAAGACCAAUCAGGAAGCCACCACAUUAGUACAGGAAAGAAAUUAUGGUAGUUUAGACAAGAGUGACAGUUGAGAUGAAGAGAAGUGUAUAGAUCAGACCUUGAGGUAGAAGUGAGGCUUCUUGGUUGUAAGAACAGACAGUGACUCUGGCUGAUUUAACAAAGAGUGAAAUUUUUUGAAAGACCAUCAAGGUAGCUCACAGAGUUGCUGGGAAGGCUGGGGAACCAGGUAAGAAAAUGGACAGGAGGGUGAACAGCUAGAAACAUAGUUAUGUUCAUUCACUCUACAGAACCAGUGCUUGCAACUGGGCUUUUUGGCUUCUAAAGUGAGAGACAUCUGUGCUAGGAAGUUCUCCAGACACAGAAGCAAAUUCAGCCAUGAGGCUUCCAAAAAAUUGACAAAUGUCUGUUAUCAUUAGAUUUCUUAACUUCCAUUUUGCAAAUGAGUAAACAGAUUCAGAAAGUUAAGUGACUCACCCAGAAACACAUAUUUCACCAAUGACAGACCUAAGACUGGGAUAGGUUUCUGAUCUCAAGUGAAUUUUUGUUCCUUAUCAUCACCAUUUGUGUUUAUUGGAGACCAUUAACUUAUUGUCAUUUACAAAUGUAAUGCUCAAAAUAUAUUGAUAAGUCAAUUAUUACUUAUUGUCCAGCCUCUAAAAUAAUUCAACAGUUAAGCAUUGUUAGAUAACCUAGAUCAUUAGAGCCUGACAUUUGUUAUUCUGUUUUUGCCAGACAUCGUGGUUUUGAAGGUACUGAUGCUUAAAUUUGUUGGAUUUCACCCAAACAGCAAUUACAAUUUGAUUAUGCAAAGUAGUAACUGUCUUCUAAUUAUAACUCUAAAGCUAGAGAAAUGUAUUAGCAAACCAGUUAUAACAAAGAAAAAAGGAAAAUUUGGCCAAAAGUAUUCUUAGACCUAACAGCAGUUUAUUAGAAUACUACAGAUUGUUAGUUUGUGGUUGGAAGAAAACAAACCAUAUGGUACUAUUUGUUUUUCAGGGUUUUAAAAUACAGUGAUGUCAUAUUUAUCACUUGCUGAAUAAAAUGAAAUCAUCUUCUCCUUAUAGCGUGCCAUUCUGGGAAUUACAUAGUUUAAAAGAACUUCAGAAACACAUUGACCUUUGAGUUCAAAGUUAGGAAAUGAUCUGAGCUACAAGCAAAAUCCUAUAAAUACGAUGGGAAACUGUGAACUAAUUUGGCUCCCAUUUUCAAUGGUAGUGUCUACAUUUUCUCCUUUCUUUUAUGUACUUUAGACAGUUUAUCGGAAAGUCACCUAUGUCAAAUUUGUAAUUAAGUGAGAUAAGACAAAAAUGGUAUCUUUUAUUUUUGAAUCUCUAGAAGCCUAGCAGUUCCUGGAACAAAUGUUUAAUGUUUAAAUGUGUUAAAAACUUUUCAGGUCACAAACUCUGUAACCAGUACGAGACUACUGAAAAAAAGAAAAAAGGUCACUUUACCAUUUAAAAAUAUUUCUUUUUAAAAAAUAGAGCAUUGAAAUUUUAGAACAUUUCUUUUUAAAAAAUAGAUUUUGAGGGGACUAUAAAUGUACUCACUCAUGUUAGAGAAAUACUGGUACUGUAUAAUUGGUGGACUCCCCUUAAGAACUGAAGCAAUACCCAUAAAGUAGCUAUAAAGAGCAUCUUUUCCAAGAAACUUUUAUCCAUUUAUCUCUUCCCAUCAUUUCAGUAAUUCAGGGCAGCAAAUAACUGUUGUCUCUGGUUUCUUGCUACAGUCUAUUUGCUACACAUUUGCCAAAAUGUUCUUUCUAAAACUCAGGUAUAGUCAUGGAGAUGGGGGAUGCAGACAGGGAAAUGGUAGGAACCAGUAUAAUUGACAUUAUGACUUAAUGCAGCACAUUGUGCCGUCAGUACACAUUCAAGCCCCAUCUUGCUGAGGAUUUAGAUUCUCACAUCAACACACAAAUCAAAUACAGACAAAAUUGUUCUUUUUAAUGUCCUCCGUUACCUGUAAGAACAGAACUCAGUUUGAAAGACUUGGGAUCUGAAACCACUUGAAAAAGAAGCAAUUCUGUCUCCCUUCUUACUCUGGGGCAAAAUUUCAUUGAAUGGAACGGUGGAAUGGCAAGCUGAAUGGAAGUCAUGUUAUCCAAAAGCUACCCCAGUUGCUAGGAGAACAUGGAGUCAGAACAAGAAUGGACUUAAGUCAGUUGCUGGGCUUAAUACCUAGGUGAUGGGAUUAUCUGUGCAGCAAACCACCACAGCACACAUUUACCCAUGUAACAAACCACCACAUCAUGCACAGGUACCGCUGAACUUAAAAGUUGGGGGAAAAAUAAAAAGAAUGGACUAAAGUCACAUAAUUUAAAUGUGUGAUGGCUUCAAACUCCUACAGUUGAAUGUUGUGGUCUUUCUUAGAUGGACAGGCCUUCUCUUCUGGACAGGGCAGGCUAGGCAAGGCAAAUGUUUGCUUCUGUCAUCCCACUUUUGCUCCUGCUCCCUGUGGACAUACACACCUCUGCUGAACACACAUGUUCAGUCUGGUUAUCUGGUUUCCAGGAGUGCAAAUGUAUAGACUUUAUCCAUUUAUAGCCCUGACCCAUUAUGCUUUGAUUUUGUAGUUUAACUUUCAAACCAUGCCAUUUCUGUGGUUUCCAAGUACAGUGCCCUUGAACAACACAGUUUUCAACAGCUCAGAUCCACAAAUAUGUGGAUUUUUUUCAAUAAGUGCAGUCGGCACUCCAUAUGGGCGGGUUCCAUGUCCACAACCAAACACCAAUCAAAAAUACAGUAUUUUUGGGAUGCAAAACCCACAUAGAGGGCCGACAGGAGGAUUUUAUGAGGAUUGGGUGGGAAGCGUCCUGGUGCCAUUCACCUGCGAAUACCAAGCAGCGACUGCACUUCCUCAAAAGCACUGCUGACAACCCCAGCUCCCUCAGAUGUCCUUAAUGAAACCCUUUUUUCAGGCUCUUUCUUACCCUGGUCAUCCUCCUCUUCUGGUUACACUCCCAUUACUAAAUACCAUUCCUACUAUUGUAUUUUAACGUUCCUUUUAAAAUCUAGUGCCUAGAAUAGCAGAAGGACUCUACAUAUCAUAUGAUUAUUUCAGAGUACAGUGGACUCUUGUAUUCAUCUGGACAUCGUAAUUGCAUUAAUGCAGCCAAAAUUAUAUUAAGUACUUCAGCAGUCCCAUCUCCCUAGCUGUUGUUGAGACUCUAGUUAAAAACAUCCCUGAGGCCUUUUAUCCUCUGAACUGCUGCAUCACGCAGCUGCUUGUAAAGCCGUCUCUCCUCCAACUUGUGCUUUUAUAAUUGAAUCUCUUUAAAUGUAAAUGCAGACAAUUACAUUUGUCCUAGUUAAAUUUCAUCUUGUUAUUUCGAGCCCAGAGUUCCAGCUUGUUGAGAUCUUAUUGAAUCUUGGUUCUGUCAUGGAUUUCUGUUAUGCAUACUUGCUUGUGUCUGCAACCCAGGUAGAGAGGCUUGAAAAUAAAUGUAUCCCAGCUGUGCUAACUCAAAGCAAGAGGUACUGAGAGAAGACAGCAAUGAUGAUUGCUCGGGGAUGGGGAAGGCAACUGCCCAUUCUCUAAGCAGUAAUUUCCUAAUAUUUUUGGUGGCAGUUCACAGUUCAACAUUAUGAGAUAUAGCAAAAGCCAUUUAUUGCUAAUUACAUUUAACUGAUGUCUAUGAAGAACUAUUCCUAUACAUUAGAGUGAAUUUGAGACUAUCUCCAUCAUUCUCCAGCCAUUCUUCAGUGGGAGAAAAAUGGUGGAAUUAAACUAGUGGAAACAAGGCUUUCUCAUCUAGUCCCAAUCCAGUCGAUAAGCUGGGUUUGCCAAUCACUACUCCAGCACAAUGGCCCUCAGUUUAUUUUUAAGUCUAUGGCAUGCCUGAAGGACCAUGUUCCCAUGAGUGACACCCUUCUGUAAAUGUGGUGGCACAUUAUGGGCUGCUGUUUUAGAAGAGACUGCCAACUUGCUGGGGAUUAUCCUGGUGUAUUCCUUUCUCUCCUGCUGGUUCGUGACAUGUCACUGGCUUGAAAAUUCUCAGCCCUAACAUUUAAAGCAGCGAUUCGCAAAGUGCAGCACGUUUAAACUGAGGUUGGCAAACUGUGGCCCAUAGACCAAAUCUGGUUCACCACCUGUUUUUAGUACAUCACUAAAUGGUUGGGGGAAAAUCAAAAGAAGAAUAAUAUUUCAUGACGUGAAAAUUAUAUGAAAUUCAAAUUUCAGUAUGCAUAAAUUAAAUAUUGAACACAGUCAUGCUUAUUUGUUUAUGUAUUGUCAUUGGCUGCUUUUGCAAAUAGUAGCAGAAUUGAGUAGCUGUGACAGAGACUAUAUGACCCACAAAGCCUAAAAUAUUUACAGAUACGGCCCUUUACAGAAAGCGUUUGCCCACUCUUGUGUUAAUGGGAUGGUUUAGAAACUGUGGAUUUUUGAGCCCCACCUCAGACCAAAUAAAUCAGAAUGUCUACAGAUGGGGGUCCAAGAGUGUACAUUUUAAGCAAGCUCUUGAAAUUCACCCCUAGGCGAACAGUGAGACAAGACUAAUGAUCAUGAGCUAAGGAUAUGGGAAAGGAAAAGAUUCUGCCCUACUUUUUCUGCCGAACUUAUUGUGUUUUAAUCCAAUGCUGUAAUUUUUCUACAGACUGUAUAAAUUAUGUGGAUCAGUUUCUAAGCACUUCUCUCCAAUUCAGCUCUCUUCUAAACUUUUCUAUUUUGUGGAAAGAAGGUUGUAUUAGUUUCUUAGGGCUGCUGUAACAGAUUAUGAACUGUGGGUUGACCUGACCAACAGAAGUUUGUUCCUUCACAGUUCUGGAGGCCAGAAGUCCAAAAUCCAGCAGGGGUGUGCUCCCUCUUGGGGGUCUAGGGAAAGAACCCAUUCUUUGCCUUUUUUAGCUUGUGGUGGCUGUCAGCGCUCUUGACUUGUUAGUACCUCACUGCAGUCUCUGCCCCAGUGAUCGCACUGCCCCCUCCUCUUCUCUGUGUCUUCUCUUUCAUCUGCCUCAAAUCUUCCUCUGAUUUUCUCUUAUAAGGACAUUUGUCAUGGGACCCAGGGCUCACCCGGCUAAUCCAAAUGAUCUCAUCUCAAGAUCCUUAAUAUAAUUAUAUCAGCAAAGCUACAAAGACCUCUUUUCCAAAUAAGGCCACAUUCACAGGUUUUGGGGGUUAGGACAGGGACAUCUUUUUGAGGCCACCAUCCAACUCAAUACACAUGCCGCUGUUCUCCUCUUCCCCCAACAGCCAGUCAGUUUCCAAGUCUUGAAGAUUCCAUCCGCUUCUCAAAUCCUACUUGCACCAUUCUGAUCUCUUUCUGCCAUAGGAAUCUCUUAGAAAUUUCUGACGGUUUCCUACUCUUUGAAAAGUUCAGAACAUACUUCUAAGCCUGACAUUUAGGGCUCUCUGCAGUAAUGUUGCCAGCGUAUUUUCCAUUUCUUUCUCUUUCUUCUUCCCUCCAUGUACCUUGCCCUCCAGCCACACUGUGCCACUUGCCAUUGCCCUCACUGCUCCUCCCCUCUCUCUCAACCCUCUCACACUGUUCCUUCUUCCUGGAACACUGGUUGUUCCUCCAUCCUUAUCACCAUGACCCCUACCCAUGUAUCACCUAACACCCAGAUAUCUUUCAAAGUCCAUCUGAGGUCCUACCUCCCCAUGAGAGCUUUGCUGCUCCUUCCCACUAGGGAUGAAUCUCUGAGCCUUUGGCACCUCACAUGGUAUAUUAUUAUUAUUAUUAUUAUAUUAAUAUUAUUAUAUUUAGCUAUUUUGACUGCAAAUGUAGGAAAAUUAAAGGAAAUUAAGAAAAGUAAUUCUAAAGUUUAGUAAAGUGACAGCAAACAAGAUCAACUUUUAAAAAAAACGGUUAUCCUGUAGAGAGUGACUCUAGUUUAUAACCAGUAAGAAAAUACAAUUUUAAAAUGCUCAAUAGUGAAAUAGUGUAACUAAAAUAUUCUUAAUGUGAAGUGUAUUAUUAGUAUCUAUAUGAAGAUGUUUUAAAUUUUGAGAGACAAGUGAAGAUGACUAAAAGAAAUACAUACUAUUUUCCUUUAGAUAAUGUAAAGAUGUCAUUCUUUAUACAUUGAUUUUAAGGUUUAGUGUCAUUUUUAUGGAAUAUUUUAAAAUUUUAUUUAUAUAAUAGGGUACUGACCAAAAUUCCAGUAAGAUGAGCCUCAUCUUCCAAGAGAUAAGACUAGGGCAUAAAAGGAUUUCAAAACUUGUUAAGAAUAACACACAAAAAUUAGCUGGAUGUAGUGGUGUGCUCCUGUGGUCCCAGCUACUCGGGAGGCUGAGGCAAGAGAAUCACUUAAACCUGGGAGGCAGGGGUUGCAGUGAGCCAAGAUCGUGCCACUGCACACCAGCCUGGGGGAGAAUGAUUACACAAAUGAAGAUAAGACACAUCCAAAUUUAAAAGGAUUCUGUAAAACAACUGGCCUGGAAUUUUUUUUAAAUGUCAUGUCAUAAAAGAUAAAAAGAGACAAAUGGGAGAGGAAGGAGGAGGAGGAAAGAAGGAGAAAGAGAAAGGAAAGAAUGAAGGAGAGGAAGGAAGGAAGAGGGGGAGGAAGGAAAGAAGAGGGGGAGGGAGGAAGGAAGACAUAUAUUGAAAGAUGUUAGAGAUACAUAACUAAUGUAAUGGGUGAUCCUUUUUUUUUUAAAUUUUAUUUUCGGUUCAGGGGUACAUGUGCAGAUUUGUUAUAUAGGUAAACUUGUGUCACCAGGGUUUGUUGUACAGAUUAUUUUGUCACCUAGGUACUAAGCCUAGUACUCAAUAGUUAUCUUUUCUGCUCCUCUCCCUCCUUCCAUGCUCCACCCUCAAGUAGGCCCGAGUGUCUGUCAUUCCCUUCUUUGUGUUCAUGAAUUCUCAUUGUUUAGCUCCCACUUGUAAGUGAGAAGAUGCGGUAUUUGGUUUUCUGUUCCUGCAUUAGUUUGCUAAGGAUGAUGGCCCCCAGCUCCAUCCAUGAUCCUGCAAAAGACAUUAUCUCAUUCUUUUUUAUGGCUGCAUAGUAUUCCGUGGUGGGUAUGUACCACAUUUUCUUUAUACAGUCUACCGUUGGUGGGCAUUUAGGUUGAUUCCAUGUCUUUGCUGUUAUGAGUAGUAUAGUAAUGAACAUUUGUGUGCAUGUGUCUUUAUGGUAGAAUGAUUUCUAUUCCUCUGGGUAUAUACCCAGUAAUGGGACUACUGGGUUGAAUGGUAAUUCUGUUUUUAGCUCUUUGAGGAAUUGCCAUUCUGCUUUCCACCAUGGUUGAACUAAUUUACACUCUCACCAACAAUGUAUUAAGUGUUCCCUUUUCUCUGCAACCCAACCAGCAUCUGUUAUUUUUUGACUUUCUAGUAAUAGCCAUUUUGAGUGGUGUGAGAUGGUAUCUCAUUGUGGUUUUAUUUGCAUUUCUCUAAUGAUCAGUGACACUGAGCUUUUUUUUAAUAUGCUUAUUGGCCAUACGUAUGUCUUCUUUAGAAAAGUGUCUGUUCAUGUCCUUUGCCCACUUUUUAAUGUUUUCUUUCAAUUUGUUUAAGUUCGUUAUAGAUGCUGGAUAUUAGACUUUUAUCAGAUGUGUGGUUUGCAAAUAUUUUCUCAAUGGGUGAUUCUUGAUCAGUUUUUUAAGCUUUGAAGUUAAUUAUGGGAAUAUUGAAUUUCAAUAUUGAGUGUGUAUUGGGUAAUAGUAUUGAAUACAGUAAUGGCGUUGUGGUUACAAAAAACGCCCUUGUUCUUAAGAGCGAUAUAUUGAAAUAUUUAGGGGUGAGGUGUUAUGAUAUUUGUGGGUUACUUUCUUUCUUCUUUUUUUUUUUUUGUUGAGUCACAGCCUCACUCUGUCGCCUAGGCUGGAGUGCAGUGGCGCGAUCUCGGCUCAGUGCAACCUCUGCCUCCUGGGUUCAAGCAAUUCUCCUGCCUCAGCCUCCCGCAUAGCUGGGAUUACAGGUGACCAUCAUUAUGCCCAGCUAAUUUUUGUAUUUCUAGUAGAGACGGGAUUUUGCCAUGUUGGUCAGGCUGGUCUUGAACUCCUGACCUCAGACGAUCUGCCUACCUCGGCCUCCCAAAGUACUGGGAUUACAGGUGUGAGCUACCAUGCCUGGCCCAUGGGUUACUUUCAUAUGAUUCAGGAAAAAAGUGUAUAUGCAUGUGUUGUGUGUAUAUGAAGAUACACAGAGAAAAUAAAAUGUGACAAACUGUUAGUAAUUGGUGACUCAAGGUGAAGGAUAUAUACAGAUGUUCAUUGUAGUAUGAUUUUAGCUUUUCUGUAGGUUUGACAUUGUUCAAAAAUAACAACAAGCAGGGGAGAGACUAUUAAGGAAAACUCUUUAAAAAUAGUACUGAAGGCUGUCAGCCCUGCCAGAUUCACUAUUCAUUUAAUAAGCAGAUAUUAACUUUAUACUAUUUCUGUGUUGCUACAAUUAUUAAAAACAGUAAUGAUACAAGGCUAAAUAGGGAUUAGUGGAGUGAAAUAAACAGCCAAAGGACCUGGCAUAACUAGCAAUUUCUCACUUGAUAAUAGGGAAGGGCAGGAAUAUUAAUGGAAAUCAUAUUGAGAUAAAUUCUUAGCAAUUAAAAAAAAAUAACUUUGCCCUUCCUCUCCAAACACUGAACUGAUUUAUAUUGGAUAGAAAAUUUUAUAAAUAAAUAAAUAUAAAAAGAAGAAAUGCAGAAUUACAGUGAAUGAGAUCCUAAGCCUAGAAUAAACUGAACAAAUCACAAAGAAAACAAUCAGCAGGGUGUGGUGGUGCACACCUAUCAUCCCAGCUACUCAGGAGGCUGAGGCAGAAGGAUCACUUGAGUCCAGGAGUUCUGGGCUGUAGUGCGCUACGUCAGUUGGGUGUCCUCACUAAAUUUGGCAUCAUUGUGAUUACCUCCCGGGAGCCAGGGACCACCAGGUUGCAUAAGGAGGGGUGAAAUGGCACAAGUUGAAAAUAGAGCAGGUCAGAGCUCCUGUGCUUAUUAGUAAUGGGAUCACACCUGUGAAUAGCCACUGCACUUCAGCCUGGGCAGCAAGCAAGACCCCUUCUCCUAAAAAAUAAUCAGAAAAAGAAAAGAAUCAGAAAUUUUAACUGUAUAAAAAUCAUAACCUUAUUACAUUAACAAGUCUUUAAAGACUAAUCUAGAAAACAAUUUGCAGGUUUUUUAUUAUUAUAAGAAUUGAUUCAAAUUGAUUAAACUCCCAAAUCUCAAGGAAUGAAUGACUAAGGUCAAUAACAGUUAAUUCACCAAAGAAAUCUAGUAAAUAACUGCUAAUUAAAUCAUUGCAAAUUAAGUUAUGAAUAUUUCAACUUAAAAUUGCCUUUAAAAAAUAACAGUAACUUGCUGGAGAGGGUGCAGACAUGCUCCUAUUUUCAUGCAUUGGUGGUGGUAUUGCAAAGCUGUACAACUCUAUUGGGAAAGAAUUUAGCAGUUCUUAUGAGAAGUCAUAAAAAUUACACCAUUGAUUCAGUAAUUCUACUUCAGGGUCUCUUGCUUAAGUAAAUAAUCCAAAAUAGUGAUAGGGUGAAAACUAUAGGCAAAACACUUGUCACUCUUAUUAUUUAUAGAAGUGAAACACUGCAAGUGAGCUAAAUAUUUAGCAAUAAUGGAUUACUUAGAGAAUUAAUUAUGGUAUAAUGCCCAAAGGACUAUCAUGCAGCUAUUAAAAAUGAUGGCUAUGGAGAUUGCAUGGAAAAAUUAUUUUGAAGUGCGAAGUUUUUGAAAAAUUGUGUGCAUAAAAAAACGGUAUAAAUUUUAAAGCCCACUUUAUGAGCUACUCUUUAUCACUAGGAUAAAUAUUCAUUCUUCUUACCAACAUUUUUACUUUCUUUGUAGUAUAUGUUUUUCCCUCUAAAGAAGAUAAAUAAUUUAAUGCAGUCUCCCAUGUAAGGCAGUGUUUUAUAUUGGAGCACAUUUUUAUCACUUGCCAUUUCACUCUGGAGUUGUCCAUAAAGAUAAGUAUUCAAACAACUGUAUUGUAUUGUACUCGCAGUAUAAUUUUUGCAUUUCUUCCACCCUAUCACUUCUCCAACACCCUAAGUAAAUUAAGAAGUAAACUAAAGAAAAUAUUUUCAGCAAAUAGUUUAUUUGGGAUAUUCAACUUAAAUGAUGAUUACUGUUCUAAAACUUUUACCUACCUUAGGUUUGGCCUUAUCUGAGUAUAUAGUCAGUACAGGUCUACAAGUCUGCUCCAUACACACUGAAAAAUAACUUGCUGAAGAUUUCUUUAUCAUUUAUUUUACCUUUAGGCACUUUGCAUGGCUUCUCAGAUGCCACGAUUGUGAAUAUAGUAAGAAUAGACCAAUGGAAUGACCAAACAUUAGCAUCCAUGCUUUAUCUAACUAUAAGUGGAAAUGUUUAUAUUCUAAUUUUAAAACUAUUGUAUGUCAGGUAAAUAGAGAAAGAAACAAAAUUCACAAAACCCAUAAUCUUUCUUACAGGCCUUAUCCACAAAUUCCUUGCAGUUGAUCUAGACUGAAUUGUGUUUUUAUAACCAAGAUGUUUGAUGUUCCUUAAUUUUAGCAAGAAUACCAACUACUUUGUUGGGAUCCAGUGAUUUUUGUUUUUAAAUUCCUAAGAUGAUAGGAUGGUUAAUAAAAAUAGCUGAGUAGGAGAUUUCCACUUUUGGAAGCUCGAGUAGACAUAGUUUUUUCUAUUUCUUCCCCUAAGUCAAACUAAAAACUCUGGACAUUAUGUAUUAAAAAAUAUAAAGAUGAAAGGUAAAGAGAAGAAAACAGACUGGCUAGAAACCCCCGGGCCACAGCAGCAGCAUAGCAGUAAGUUUCAUGGGUUUUCAUUUCGCUUCUUGUAUCCCAGACUUGGAGCUGAAGAAGCUGGCAAAUAGGAAAUGUCAACAGCAUAGACAAAGCUCCAAUGGAGCCUGCUCUCUCUUAGUCAAAAGACCAAGACAGGAACAUCCUAGCAAGACGGAAAACUUUUAGACAAUCCUCUAGCCGAACACCACAGAAGAAAAUGUGGACCCACCCUCACCCAUGCCAGCAAAGGCCUCGUGGGGAACCCAGACAUCUACCCUAUGAAGCCCUAAGGAGGUGUGCUAAUACUCCUGCUGGAGUGGUUUCAGAAAACGCCAAGAAAGGAGCUUAGAUUUUUAUCCCCCCUGGGCAGUAAUUACCCCUUUCCCUUCAUGGUGUGAGCAGAGACUGUGUGGGGAAUCAGAACUCACCUCCACACACAGUAACGCAGUGCUGCACACCUCAGCUGUCAGCAGACCUGAGUAGAAAACCUAGACUUCUGUCCCCAUCUUGCAGUAAUAAGGCAGCACCCCACUCUUUCCUUUGCCAGAGGCAUGGCAAAGAAAGCCAGUUAGAAAAAGAAGAUUUAGGCUGGUUGUAGUGGCUCACACCUGUAAUCCCAGCACUUUGGGAGGGCAAGACAGGAGGAUUGCUUGAGCCCAGGAAUUCAGGAUCAGCCUGACCAACAUAAGGAGACCCCAUCUCUACCAAAACAAACAAACAAAAAAAUAGCCAGGCAUGGUGACAUGUGCCUGUAGUCCCAGCUACUGGAGAGGCUGAGAUGGGAGGAUCACUUGAUCCUGGGAGAUCGAGAGAUCAAGGCUGCAGUCAGCUAUGAUUGCACCACGGCACUCCAGCCUGGCAGUCGGCGCAACAGAGUGAGACCCUGUAUCCAAAAAAAAAAAAAAAAAGAAGAUUUAAAUAACAUUCAGAAUCUCAUCACAUAAUACAAAAAUGUCCAGUUUUAUUUAAUUCAGAAUAACUCAUAAUACAAAAAGCCAAGAAGAUCUUAGACUGAAUGAAAAAAGAAGGCAGUCAAUAUAGGCCAACACCAAAAUGACAGCGGUGUUAGAAUUAUCUGACAAAGAUUUUAAAGCAGUCAUGAUAAAAAUGCUUCAAUGAACAAUUAGGAACAUGGUUGAAACAAAUGAAAAAAUAGAAAGGCUCAGCAAAGAAAUGUCUCUGCUGAGAAACUAUGGAGGUGAAAAAAAAUAGCAAAAUAUUUUUCAUGUGCUGAAAGAAAAGAACUGUCAAUCCAGCAUUCAUACCCAGAGAAAAUAUCCUUCAGUAAUGAAUCACAAAUCAAGACAUUCUCAGAUGAAGGAAAACUAAGAGAAUUUGUCACCAUCAGACCUACCCUAAAAUAAUGGCUAAAAGGAGUUCUCUGGAAUGUCAGAAAAGAGGAAAGAGCAUGGUAGGCAAAAACAUGUAAAUAUAACAUUCUCCUCUUGAGUUUACUAAAUUAUGUUUGAUGGUUGAAACAAAAACUAUAGUAAUGUCUGAUGUAAUUCUAAAUGUGCAUAGAGGAAAUAUUUAAAACAAUUAAAAAUGGGAGACUAAAGGGACAUAAGAUUUCUGUAUUCCACUUCAACUGGUAAAGUGAUGACACCAGUAGACUGUGACAAGUUAUGUACAUAUAAUGUAAUAUCUAAAGCGACCACUAAAGAAAGCUAUACAAAGGGAUACACUCAAAAACACUGUACAUAAAUAAAAGUAAGAGUCUCAAAAGUGUUUAAUCCACAGGAAGGCAGGAAAAGAAAACAGAAAUAAAAAACAGUGAAACAAACAGUCCAUACCAUGGGCCUUAAUACCAACCUCAGAAGAUUUAACAGAGUUAAAAUCAUAUACAGUAUGUUUUUUGACCACUAUAAAUGUAAUCUAGAAAUGAAUAAUAGAAAGGUAACAGGAAAAUAACCAAACACUUGGAAAUUAAAUAACACACCUCUAUAUAACCCAUGAAUCAAAGAGGAACUCUCAAGAGAAAUUUUAAAAUGCAUUAUACUAAAUGAAAAUGAAAAUGUAGCGUAUCAAAAUUUGUAGGACACAGCUAAUGCAGUGAUAAUACAUAUAUUAGAAAAGACCAAAAGUCUCAAAUCAAUAAUCAAAGCUUUCACCUCGAGAACCCAAAGUAAAAUAAAUACAAUAAAAGAAAAGCAAAAUAAACACAAAGCAAACAAAGGAAAGAAAUAAUAAAGAGCAUAAAUGAAAUUGAAAACAGAAAAACAGUGGAGAAAAUUAAUGAAACAGUGAUCCCUGAGAGGAUUUGGCUCUGUGUCCCCACCCAAAUCUCAUGCUGAAUUGUAUUCCCCAAUGUUGAAGGUGGGGUGUGGUGGGAGGUGAUUGGAUCAUGGGGGUGGUUUCUGAUGGUUUAGCACCAUCCCCCUAGUGCUGUUAGAGUUCUCACAAGAUCUGAUUGUUUAAAAGUGUGUAACACCUCUCCUCUCUCACUCUCUUCUUCCUGCUUCGGCCAUGUAAGAUGUGCCUGCUUCCCCUUCCCCUUUCGCCAUGAUUGUAAGUUUCCUGAGACCUCCCCAGCAAUGCUUCCUGUAAGCCUGCAGAACCUUGAGCCAAUUAAACCCCUUUUCUUUAUAAAUUACCCAGUCUCAGGUACUUCUUUAUAGCAGUGCAAGAACAAUCUAAUACAAUUUCGUUCUUUGAAAAGAUUAAUAAAUCAACAAAGCAAUUCUACACAUCUCUUCCAAAAAAUAAAAAGAGAACAGUUCCCAAUUCAUUUUAUGAAACUAGUAUUACCCUAAUACCAAAACCAAUGACAGUACAAAAAAAAAUAAGAAUACAGAGAAAUAUCCCUUAUGGCUACAGAUUCAAAAAUUCUUAACAUAUUGGCAAAUAGAAUUCAGCAAUAUAUAAAAUUAAUGGUACUCCAUGACAAGUAGAGUUUAUUCCAGGCUGACUCAGUAUUUGAAGAUCAAUCAUUGUAGCAAAAAUCACUGGAUUGACUGGAAGUCAAUCAGUCGUGAGCCUAUUAAUCACCACAUUAAUAGGCUAAAGAAGAAACAUCACAUAAUCAUAUCAAUCACUGCAGAAAAGCAUUUGACAAAAUUCAACACCCAUUCAUGAUAAAAUGCUAAGAAAAAUAGGAAUAGAAGGAACUUCCUAAAGCUGAUAAAGGGCAAAUAAUAUUAUACUUCAUGGGGGAAAGCUGAAUGCUUUUCCUAUAUGAUUGGAAAUGAGACAAAGAUGUCUGGCCUCAAUAUUGUCAUUCAACAUAUUGCUGGAAGUUUUAGCCAGUGCAAUAAGUUAAGAAAAUGAGCUGAAGACAUACAGACUGGAAAGGAAAAAAACCAAAACUGUCCCUAUUUGUAGAUAAGAUAAUUGUUUAAGUAGAAUAUUCCAAGGAAUUUAUUUUUAAAAAGACUCCUAGAACUAAUAAAAGAGUUAAGCAAGGUCAAAGGAUACAAAAUAAACACAAAAAUCAGUUGUAUUUCUGUAUAUUAGCAAUGAACACAUGACAACUGGUAUUUAAAAUACAGUAUCAUUUAAAAUUUCUCAAAGGAAAAAAAUAUAUACUUAAUUGUAAAUCUAAUAAAACAUGUACAGGACUUAUAUGCUAAAAACCGUAAAACUGAUGAAAGAAAUCAAAGAUAUAAAUAAAUGGAGAGACAUACCAUGUUUAUGGAUUGCAAGACUCAACAUAGUAAUAAUAGUCAAUUCUCUCAAAAAUAUAUACAGGUUUAAUGCAGUUCCUAUCAAAAUUCUAACAAGAUAUUUUGUAGAUAUAGAGAAGGUUAUUCAAAAAUUUAUAUGGAAAGUCAAAGAAAGUAAAACAGUUAAAACAAUUUUGAAACAGAAUAAAGUAGGAGGAAUAAAUUUCAAGACUUAUAUAGCUGCAGUAAUCCAGACUGUGUGCUAUUUGUGGAGAGAUAGACACAUAGAUGAAUGCAACAGAAUAAAGAAUUCAGAAACAGACACACAAAUGAGCCUAACUGGUUUUUGACAAAAGUGUAAAAGAAACUCAGUGCAAGAAAGGUUAUCUUUCACAACAAAUGGUGGAGAAGCAAUUGGAUAUCCAUAGGGUAAAACAAACAACAACAAAAAACGAAACAAAACCCUGUUCUAAGUCUUAUACCUUAUACAUAAAUUAACUUGAAAUGGAUCAUGAACUUAAAUAUAAAAUGUAUGACCGUAAAAUUAAAAGAAACAGUAGGAGAAAAUCUUUAGAAUUCAGGGCUAGGCAAAAAAGUCUUAGAAUUGACACUAAAGCCACACUCCCUAAAACAAAAAACUGUAAAUUGCACUCUAUCAAAUAAAAACUUUUACUCUGCAGAAACUCUCUUAAGAGGAUAUAAAGACAAACUGCAGAGUGGGAAAAAUAUUUUCAAACCACAUACCUAACAAAGGACUAGUAUCUAGAAUAUAUAAAGUUUUUCAAAACUCAACAGUAAAAAACAAUCCUCUAGAAAAUGGGCAAACAACAUGAACAGAGAGUUCACCAAGGAGGACAUAUAGCAAAUAAGCACACAGAACAAGCAAUUAGCACACAAAAAGAUGUUCAACAUCAUUAGCCAUUAGGGAAAUACAAAUUAAAACCACAAUGGGCUGUCACUACACAUCUAUUAAAACUAUCAAGAUAGAGAACAAAUUAGUGGUUACCAGGAGUGAAGGAGGGAUGGAGACAGAAGGUAAGUCGAUUUGGCUAUAAUAGGACAUCAUGAGGAAUCCUCAUAAUAGAAGUAUUCUCUCUUGACUAUAUUAAUGUCACUAUCCUGGUUUUAAUAGUGGACAGUGGUUUUACAAGAGGUUCCUGAUAUGAUUUGGCUAUGUCCCCACUGAAAUUUCAUCUUGAAUUCCCACAUGUUGUGGGAGGGACCUGGUGAGAGGUAAUUGAAUCAUGGGGGCAGGUCUUUCCUGUGCUGUUCUCAUGAUGGUGAAUACAUCUCACAAGAUCUGAUGGUUUCAUAAGGGGGAGUUUCCCUGCACAAGUUCUUUUCUCUUGUCUGCCACCAUGUGAGGCAUGCCUUUCACCUUCUGCCAUGAUUGUGAGGCCUCCCCAGCCACGUGAAACUGUAAAUCCAAUAAACCUCUUUCCUUUGUAAAUUGCCCAGUCUUAGGUAUGUCUUAGCAGCAUGAAAAUGGGCUAAUACAGUAAAUUGGUACCAGUAGAGUGGGGCACUGCUGAAAAGAUACCUGAAAAUGUGGAAGCAGCUUUGGACCCGGGUAACAGGCAGAGGUUGGAACAGUUUGGAAGGCUUGGAAGAAGACAGAAAAUGUGGGAAAGUUUGGAACUUUCUAGACACUUGUUGAAUGACUUUGACAAAAAUGCUGAUAGCGGUAUGUACAACAAGGUCCAGGCUGAGAUGGAGAUGAGGAACUUGUUGGGAACUGGAGCAAAGGUCACUCUUGUUAUGUUUUAGCAAAGAGACUGGUGGCAUUUUGCCCCUGCCCUAGUGAUUCCUGGAACUUUGAACUUGAGAGAGAUGAUUUAGGGUAUCUGGAGGAAGAAAUUUCUAAGCAGCAAAGCAUUCAAGAACACGUGGAAGUGUAAGUCCAAUAAACCUGUUUCUUUUGUAAAUUGCCCAGUCUCAGGUAUGUCUUUAGUCUUUUAUCAGCAGUGUGAAAACAGACUAAUACAGUUACCAUUGGGAGAAACUGGGUGAAUUAUACAUGGGAACUCUCUGUAUUAUUUUCUUACAACUUACUGUGAAUCUACAAUUAUCUCAAAAUAAAAAGUUUAAUUUAAUAAUCGCUGAGUAAGUGGGCCUCUGCAGAAUCACCAAAUCAGGAGUUUCAUCAAUAAGUCUUAAUUCUCUCCAGCAAGAACUAGUGCAGUUUUCCUAGGCUCCACUUCAUUUGCUAAUAGAGUUCUUUAGAAUCUCUAAAGAUUUGAACAUCAUCAUGAACCAUCUAACUCAGCUGGGAAAGAAAAUCAUAUACCAGUAUUUUUGUUGGUCCACACAUUUUAGGAAACUAAAAUGUAUGCUGUUUAAUGGCACAGACUGUGUAGAUUGUGUACUCUUACGGCUUAUCACAAGGUCUUAGCUUGUGAUACGUUAGAUUUCAGUAAAUACAUGUUAGAUGGCUGGAUGAAUGGAUGAAACUAGUGGUGUUCUAGUAAAUAUAUGACAACUAGCUCUCCAGAAGAAGAAAGAAGUGCUCAUUUGUAUCAUUUGCUGAUUUCUCUGGUGUAAAUACUCCUUUAUGGCCAAUUUCAGGCUACUAAAAUGACAUGUCUAAACAUGGGGUUGGGAAGAGAUGUAUCCAUUACCCUUCAUAAGCUAGUAUAAGCUGACUCCAGCACACCACUGGAUGGAGUUGAGUUAGAUAGCAUGCGAUGUUAACCACCUUUAUUUUCUGAUGCCAACCUUGUGUUAAAAUUACAAAGAAAAUCUGGGCUUUGAGUUACUGCCUAAUCCCUUCUCAUUAAAAGUGUGAGAGAUCCAUUGAGAAUCAGUAGUUGUCUCAAAGCAAACCCAUGGCCUUCACCUAGAGAAGAAAAUUAAAAAGAAUAUGCCUUAUUAUUAUUGAAUACAAACCUUUUUGUGUUCAUGUGGAGCACUGAGAAAGGCAUGAAUUACAGUAACUUGCCAGUGUCCAACUCAUGGUGGAAGCAGGCUGAUUUUUUUCCAGUUUAGCCUCUUAAUUUCUUCUUGAGGGUGAUUGGCUUAUGGGAGAUGUACUUACAAGGACAUAUCAUAUAAAGCUUUAUUUUUUAAGGAGUCUGAAAGGAAAAAAAAACCUCAUUAGUUUUGUACUGUAGUCUUGUUUCUUAGUAUUAGAGAAUCAUUUCUGACAUCUGAUUAAUCACACUUACUCCUGCUUGUUUUCAAUCUUGUUGGAUGUUUCCAAAAACUAUCUCAUAGACAGUAUUUUCUCCUCACACUAUCUUGCAGCUGCAAUAUAAUCUACACUCAAAGCUUGUGUUGCAACAUGCAUGCCCUUGGGCCACAAUCUCUGCUUGCUUUGGCAUGGUUUUUUAUUUAUUCCAAAGACAUCUAUGCCUUUAGGUUGCUAUAGAGAUUUCAAGUGAACUAAACUGUCCAAGAAAACCUCAGGGAAGCCUGUUUAGUUUCUUCUAAAACUCAAGGCGAUUAGUAGACCCAGAUAUUCUUAAAAUGUAUGCUGCAAGCGAAGGAACCUCUGCGAAAAGUGGGUUGAUGACCUUAGUUAUAGAGGGUUUCAAGGAGAAGGUAAUUUUAAUAGCAGCAAAAAAGCUGAGUAGAGGGAAGUGAAUUUGUUUGUAAAGGUGCUUAUAAGAGAACACCUGGGGUAUUGAUUAACAUAUUAACAACUGCCUCUUUGGAGUAUUGGAUUGUAGCUGCUUAGUAUCAAUAAGUUUACAAAAACUAGCCAAAGCAUUAUAUAGUUCAGGGUUAUUGCUUACACCAAUUUCAGACAUUAAGCAUGAGUGAAUGUUUUUCUUUCUGCUUUUCUGUUUCUAUAUUUUCUUCAACAUGCACUAUUUUAUGAUUAAAAUUAUAUGUGAGUAGAAAAUGAGGCAGUGUUAUUGAUUAUAUAGUAAAUUUUGAAUUAUUCUUAUUUGUUUAGCAACUAUUAUGCAGUCUAGAAGUGAAGAGGUUAAACUAAACCAGAGUGUAGAGGAGGGAACAUGGAGUUCCUUAUAUUUUACAUAAUUUUAACACUGGUGGCCAUGUGUUUCUCGGUGUCCUUAGAAUUGAGAAUGAACAAUGAAUACUUUAAUGGGUGAAAUCAAAUAAACUGUUAUUAUAAGAUAUUUAUUAAUUAACCAAGUUAAUUACAAGUCUUUGAAAGAUGACAGAUUUGUGAGGCAUCUUUAGAACGAACGUCAAAUUCUUUAAGCCUCCAUUAAUUCCUGGGACCUCAACGUAAUGUUAUAUGAUAGCACUCACUGGAAUGGGUGUAGAAGGUCAAAUUUUAGGAAAUUUUGGCAUGGACUUUUAUUGUGGAAGGUAGCUUAACCUCUGUAUGGUGUGGUUUCCUUAUUUAAAACUAAGAGUCACGCCGGGUGCAGUGGCUCACGCCUAUAAUCCCAGCACUUUGGGAGGCUGAGGUGGGCGGAUCACCUGAGGUCAGGAGUUCAAGACGAGCCUGGCCAAUGUGUUGAAACCCCCUCUCUACUAAAAAUACAAAAAUUAGCCAAGCAUGGUGGCGCAUGCCUGUAAUCCCAGCUACUCCGGAGGCUGAGGCAGGAGAAUUGCUUGAAUCCAGGAGGCAAAGGUUGCAAUGAGCCGAGAUUGUGCCACUGCACUCCAGCCUGGGUCAUAGAGCGAGACUCAGUCACAAAAAAUAAAAAAUAAAAAUAAGAGUCAGACUGGAUAACGGUAAUGUCCUUCUAACUUUAAUAUUCUGUGAUACAGAAGUCAGCUAAGUGUGGUAGUAAUUAAUUAGUAAUAGAAAAUUUGUUUCUAAACAAUAUAAAGGAUCCACAUAUUUCAAAAUAUCAGUAACAUAGUUUAGGAAAUUGUAUUAACUAAAGUCUCUUUUAAUUGGAGAUAACUGAAGCUAAAUUAAGCUUGCUUGGAUCCCAAAGGGGGUUUAUAGUAAGGCUUCUGUGACCCCAAGAAAGGACAGGGGUGCAGCUAGACACCAGGAAAUAGCAGAAAUGACUGGAAGGAACCAGAUUGCCCCUUUCUGGGUGUUCGUAUCAUCAUUCCCAUCUGAAGAAUGACUUCCUGCACACAGCAGGGAACCUGGCCAUUGAGAGUUCAUGUUUGACCCUUGCUGCUUUGGAACUCAAGGAAUUUUAUUACUCUCUUCUGCCCCACAUUAAAAAAAAUAUUGGAGAAGGGUGCCUGUUGGCUGAGUUUGGAUGAGGUGCCUACCCUUGGAUCAGUUACUGUGAACAGGGAAGCGGGUCACAUAAGAUAAAGACCCACUAGAAUAAUAUAACUGGUAUUAUUAAUAGAAGAAGUAGCAUAUUCUAGAAGGAAAGAGUAUAUUUACCAAAACAAGAGAAGGAGUAGUAAUUGGACAAGGAAAUAGUAAAGUUCACUAAACUUUUUUUUAAAUUGCUAAAUGAAAUCAUCACUUACUGUUUCUUACAUACACAGUAAACUACACUAAUGAAUUAUUGCUUGGUAGAUGUGGCCAUAGUUGCACUAAUGCAUGCUGGAAUUUACCUGGCUUUUAAUGGAUACUCGGUAAAUGGUAGCUAUUAUUUUUAUAAUCUAGCCAAGAGAUCGGUGUUGAUCAUAAUUCUCAUCUAUAAUUUUUAUGAUCUAAUGAAGAGAUAGGUGCUGCUCAAAAUCUCAAAAGAUGCAAUCCCAAAUGCCAUAAUUCUGAAUGUCAAAAUCCCAAAAGGUCAAAAUCCCUAAACUGUAAAAUCUCUAACAUCUAAAAAUCCCAAAAAUCACAAUUGCAAGAGAUUAAAAUCCCAAAUGUUAAAAUCCUGACAUCUAAAUUCUGGGGAAGAAAAUAGUGUGAGUUUUCGGCUAUAUGCAGGAUAGUUACAUCAUGUUGGUUACCUCAUGUUGGGCUGAACUAUUACCUUGUUAUUGUCUUUAUUUGGAAAUUAACUAUGGCAUAAGGAUGUGGGUUUGGGUGCCAAGUUGACAAGGAGUGGACUUGUGGACUGAAUUUUAGGCAUCAAUUUGCUAAAUUAAGGAAUACAUGGAAACCUGUUAAAGCAUGAUUUGGGGUGUGUAUGUGAGGGUAUUUCCAUAGGAGAUUAGUGUGAGUGAGUUGGAGUGGACCAGGUGGGGAGGAUCUGCCCUCAAUGCUGGCAGGCACCAUCCAGUUGGUUGGGGGCCUGGAGAGAACAAAUACAGAAGGCUUCUCUCUUUGAGAGCUGGGGCAGACUUUUCUCCUGUUGUCAUGGACACCAGAACGUUAGGCUCACCAGCCUUUGGACCCCAGGGCUUUCACCAGUGGCCCCCCGCAAGGCCUGAGGGUUUUGACUUAAAACUGAGAGUUAUACCAUUAGCUUCCCUGGUUCUGAGACCUUUGGACUUGGGACUGAACCAGGCUAUCAGCACCCCAAGAGUCUCCAGUUUGCAGACAGCCUGUCAUGGGACUUCUCAACCACCAUAAUCCUAUGGGCCAAUUCCCCUAAUAAAUAUCUUCUCAUAUGCAUGUGCUAUUGGUUCCGCCUCCCUGGAGAACCCUGACUGAUACAGAUUUGGUAUGGAGAAGCUGAAUAUCAUUCCUUCUUACUGUAUUUCUUAUAACAAAAUGUAAGAGAUAUAUGAAAUUAUUCUCUUGAAUAAAAGUCUGUGAUAAGCGUACGAGGCUCUCUUAAUGGUGAAAGAUAAAAGUUUAAAAGCUAAUUAUUAUUGGUGCUGCAAAAGCAGAAAAUCACUUAAUUACAAUGGCCAAGCAAUAACCAAACUUUCAGUUGGACAGCAUAUACAUAGAAAAUUUGCAGACCACAACCACUCUCCAAAUGUAAAUGCAGUGAGUUUUGAAGAUCAUGGAAGAAGUGAAAACACAAGUGAAAAACACAAAAAAUCUCCCCUGCUAUAAUAAGGUCUAGUUCUCUGUCCCCAUCCAAAUCUCAUCUCAAAUUGUAAUCCCCAUGUGUCGAGGGAGGGACGUGAUUGGAUGAUGGGGCAGUUUCCCCCAUGUAUUCUUGUGAUAGUGAGUUCUCAUGAGAUCUGAUGGUUUUAUAAGCAUCUGGGAUUUCCCCUGCUGGCACUUCUCUCUCUUGCCGUCAUGCAAAGAAGGUCCUUGCUUCCCCUUCAUCUUCCACCAUGACUCUAAGUUUCCUGAGACCUCCUCAGCCAUGUGGAACUGUAGAUCUUUCCUUUAUAAAUUACCCAGUCUCCGUUAUUUCUUUAUAGUGGUGUGAAAACUGCUGAUUCUUUAUAGCAAUGUAUUUACCAAUACAAUAAAUUGGUACCACAGAGAGUAGGGUACUGCCACUACCCAAAAAUGUAGAAGCAACUUUGGAACUGGGUAACAGGCAGAGGUUGGAACAGUUUGGAAUGCUCAGAAGAAGACAGGAAAAUGUGGGAAGGUUUGGCACUUGCUAGAGAUUUGUUGAAUGGUUUUGAGCAAAAUGCUGAUACUGAUGUGGACAAUGAAGUCCAGGCUGAGGUGAUCUCAGAUGGAGAUGAGGAACUUACUGGGAACUGGAGCAAAGGUCACUCUUGCUGUGCUUUAACAAAAAUACUGGCAGCAUUUUGCCCCUGUCCUAGAGACCUGUGUAACUUUGAACUUGAGAGAGAUGAUUUAGGGUAUCUGGUGGAAGAAAUUUCUGAGCAGCAAAGCAUUCAAGAGGUGACAGAUCAUAAAAGUUUGGAAAAUGUGCAGCCUGACAAUGUGAUAGAAAAGAAAAACCUAUUUUCUGGGGAGAAAUUCAAGCCUGCUGUAGAAAUUUACAUAGGUAAUGAGGAGCCGAAUGUUAAUAGCCAUGAAAUGGGGAAAAUGUCUCCAGGACAUGUCAGAGACCUUCACGGGAGCCCCUCCCAUCACAGGCCCAGAGGCCUAGGAGGGAAAAUGGUUUUCUGAGCCAGGUCCAGGACCCCCUGCUGUGUGCAGCCUAGGCACUUGGUGCCCUGUGUCCCAGUUGCUCUAGUUAUGGCUAAAAAGGGCCAAGGUACACCACAGGCCAUGGUUUCAGAGGGUGCAAGCCCCAAGCCUUGGCAGCUUCCAUGUGGUGUUGAGCCUGCAGGUGCACAGAAGUCAAGAAUUGAGGUUUGAGAACCUCCACCUAGAUUUCAGAGAAUGUAUGAAAACACCUGGAUGUAUGGAAUGUAUGGAAAUGCUUGCUGCAGGGGUGGGACCCUCAUGGAGAACCUCUGCUAGGGCAGUGUGGAAGGGAAAUGUGGGGUUGGAGCCCCCACCAGAGUCCCCACUGGGACACUGCCAAGUGGAGCUGUGAGAAGAGAGCCACUGUCCUCCAGACCCCAGAAUGGUAGAUCCACCAACAGCUGGCACCGUGCACCUAGAAAAGCUGCAGACACUCAAUGCCAGCCCAUGAAAGCAACCAGGAGGAAGGUUGUACCCUGCAAAGCCACAGGGGCAGAGCUGCCUAAAACCAUGGCAACCCACCUCUUGCAUCAGCAUGCGCUGGAUAUGAGAUAUGGAGUCAAAAGAGGUUAUUUAGGAGCUUUAAGAUUUAAUAACUGCCCCACUGGAUUUUGGACUUACAUGGGGCCUAUAGCCCCUUUGUUUUGGCCAGCUUCUCCCAUUUGGAAUGGGAGCAUUUAUCCAAUCUGUACCCUCAUUGUACCUUGCAAGGAACUAACUUGCUUUUGAUAGGCUGAUAGGUGGAAAGGACUUGCCUUGUCUUAGAUGAGACUUUGGACUUCGACAUUGAGUUAAUGCUUGAAUGACUUAAGACUUUGGAGGACUGUUGGGAAGGCAUGAUUGGUUUGGAAAUGAAUAAAGGAUGUGAGAUUUGAGAGAGGCCAGGGCAGAAUAAUAUGGUUUGGCUAUGUCCCUACCCAAAUCUCAUCUUGAAUUAUAAUCCCCACAUGUUGAGGUAGGGACCUGUAAUCCCCACAUGUCAAGGGAGGGAGGUGAUUAGAUAAUGGGACCAGUUUCCCCCAUGCUGUUCUCAUGACAGUGAGUGGGUUCUUAUGAGAUCUGAUGGUUUUAUAAGCGUCUGGCAUUUCCUCUGCUUGCACUUCAGUCUCCUGCCACCAUGUGAAGAAGGUCCUUACUUCCCCUUCACCUUUCACCAUGAUUGUAAGUUUGCUGAGGCCUCCCCAGUCAUGUGGAACUGUGAGUUAAUUAAACCUCUUUCCUUUAUAAAUUACCUAGUCUCAGAUAUUUCUUUGUAACAGUAUGAAAAUGAAGUAAUACACCUGCCAAACUAUUCAGUCACUUAUGACUUCUGCCCCUUCACACAUAGUGUCAAUUUGCUAUGUGAUGUAUUUCAUUUUCACAUCAUGUCCAAUACUGGAGGUAUAAAUUGUGUCAAGAUUUUUAGAGACAUCUAAUUCAUUUUAUGCUUUUUUUUGGCCAAUUUGACUUCACAAAAGUGCAUUAUCACAACGUUGGGUGUAAGCAUUGUGCGCAUAUGUAGAAAUAUUGAAACUUCCUCAGUAAAUGAAGAUGUCCUUUUGUACACCUGCAUUUGUUAAAGAUAAAAUUUCUUUAGAUCUUGGUUCUUUGGGCAACUGCAUAUAUGGUGGUGACCCAUUGAAGUUUAUUAACAGAUCUCAUCAAAAGACUUAGGUUAUCUAUCAAGGUAUUUCAGAUGCCACAGUUAUAAAGCUGGGUGUACACAAUUACCAACCACAGUGACUUUGUUUAUACAUUUUGCCUUUUGACCUAUUUAUGAAUAUGAUUUGUCUUCUCAUAACUUUUACACCCAUGUGACCAUUGUUAGUAUACCUGAGUGUUUAUGCUUACAAAUAUCUGCAUAUUAGUUCUUGCCUAUUUUAUUGUAUAAAGUGGCCUACAACAUAUUUUAUCAUGUUUUUAGGUGUUUCUCAAAUCUCCUUUUCAAAAAUGUAAAUAAAUGUCUCGAGGAAUUUUUAUUAAGUUAUUUUUUCAGAAGUAUAUUUUCAAGAUUCCGAUCUCUCAGGAUUGUGAUUUCCAGGAUUUUAGACGUUAGGGAUUAUGAUUUUUUGGGAUUUCAGUGUUCAGGAUUAUAGUGUUUAGGAUUGUGUCUUUCAGGAUUAUGGCCCAAAUCCCCAAAAAGGUUAAAUUUAUAGUUAGAAUUUUUAGUGCCAGUUAUUUGAGAGCACCACAAAUGUCUGUGACACAAAGAAAUUUACCUUUUAACCAAUUGUACUAGUUCUUUCCUGCUCUAUAACAAAAUAGCUGAGACUGGGGUAAGUUGUAAGAACAGAAACUUAUUUCUCACAGUUCUGAAGGCUGAGAAGUCUAAGAUCAAGGUGUCGGUGUUUGGUAUCUGGUGAAGCUGCUCUCUGCUUCCAUAAUAGCACCUUCUUGCUGUGUCCUCAUGUAGUGGAAGAGUGGAAGGGCAAGAGGGCCUCCGUAAUUCCUUGCAGCCCUUUUAUAAGGGUACUGGUACAGUUUGGAUCUGUGUCUCCACCCAAAUCUCAUGUUGAAUUGUAGUCCCCAGUGUUGGAGGUGGGGCCUGGUGGGAGGUGACUGGAUCAUGGGGGUGGAUUUUUCAUGAAUGGUUUAGCACCAUCUCCCUUGGUGCUGUCCUCAUGAUAGUGAAUGAGUUCUUGUGAGAUCUGGUGAUUUGAAAGUGUGCAGCAGUUCCCUGCUCGCUUUCUUGCUUCUGCUCUGGCCAUGUGACAUGCCUGCUUCCACUUCACCUUCUGCCAUGAUUAUAAGUUUCCUCUGCAGAAACCAAGCAGAUGCCAGCAUCAUGUUUCCUGUACAGCCUGCAGGACCUACGACUCUUUUCUUUAUAAAUGAAACCUCUUUUCUUUACAAAUUACCCAGACUCAGGUUUUGUUUUUUGGUUUGUUUUUUUUUUUUGAGAUGGAGUCUCGCUCUGUCACCAGGCUGGAGUACAGUGACACAAUCUCGGCUCACUGCAACCUCUGCCUCCUGGGUUCAAGCAAUUCUCCUGCCUCAGCCUCCUGAGUAGCUGGGACUACAGGCGUAUACCACCACACCCAGCCAAUUUUUGUAUUUUUAGUAGAAACGGGGUUUCACCAUGUUGGCCAGGAUGGUCUCGAUCUCUUGACCUCGUGAUCCACCUGCCUCAGCCUCCCAAAGUGUUGGGAUUACAGGCGUGAGCCACCGUGCCCGGCCAAGUAUUUCUUUAUAGCAAUGCAAGAACAGACUAAUACAGGUGCUUAUCCCAUCCAUGAGAAUUCAGCCUCGUUAAUCAAAAUAUCACACUGGAUCUUAGGUUCCAAUCUGUGAAUUUUGGAGACACCUGUACAUUCAAAACAUAGUACCAAGUGUAUUAUUUAUUACUGGAUAACAAAUUUCCACAAAUUUAGCAGCUUAAAACAAUACAAACUUACUCUCUCAUAGUUUCUGUGGGUCAGGAAUUGGGGCACAGCUUAGCUGGGUCAACUGCUCAUCAGGGUCUUUCUCAUGGGCCUAAAGUUAAAGUGGCAGCCAGGGCUGGAUGCAAUGGUUCAUGCCUAUAAUCUCAGCACUUUGGGAGGCUGGGGCAAGAGGAUCACUUGAAGCCAGGCAUUCAAGACAGCCUGAGUAACAUAGUAAGAUCCCCGUCUCUACAAAAUGUAUUUUUUUAAUUAGCUGGGUGUGGUGGUAUGCAUCUGUGGUCAGCUACUUGGGAGGCUAAGAUGGGAGGACUGAUGGAAACCAGGAGGUUGAGGCUGCAGUAAGCCAUGAUCAGACCACUGCACUCCAGUCUGGGAAACAGAGCAAGAUCCUGUCCCAAAAAUAAAAUACAGUGUCAGCCAGGGCUGGAGUAUCAUCUGGAAGCUCAAGUGGAGAGGGAUCCUCUCCCAAGCUCACUUAUGUGGUUGUUGGCAGGAUCCACUUCCUUUUGGGUUGUUGGUCUGAGGGCCUUAAUUCCUAGCUGCUAUUGACUAGAGUUAGACCUCUCCUCAGUCUCUUGUUAUGUGGGCCUCCCCACCAUGACAACUUCAUCAGAGCCAGCAAGGUGGAACCCCAGUCUGUGUAGCCUAAUUAAGAAGGUGACACAUCGUCACCUUUGCCAUAUUCUCUUGGUUACAAACAAGUCGCAGGUCCUGCCACACUAGUAAAGAGGGUAUUAAAAAGGGUGUGAACAGGAGGAGGUGAGAUCAUUGGGGGGCAUCUUAAAGUCUGUUUGCCACACCAAAAUGUUGAUUUAAAUAUUACUCACCCAGUCCAAAGCUUGUAUGCAGGUGUGAGAUAUUUUGCUAGUGAAAAAAAAAAAAAAAAAAAAAAAAGGCCCUGGGAAAAAAAGCCCAGGCUUAACUAUAAUGUUACUCUAGGGUCCAUCAAAAGUCUACAAAGCUGAACAUUCUAGUUAACUGCUCAGGUGCCCACAGUCCCUAAUCAGUCACAUUAAAAGCUGUUGUGCUCAUGUUUCUACUCCUUGCAUUCCUAGUAUAGUGACUUAUUCAUGAUAGAUACUAAGUGCUGAAUGGAUGAAUGUUUUUUAAAUCUAGUGUUUCUAUGUGGUGGGAAGCAGUAUAGUGUACCAGUUCAGAGCAUGAACUUUGGAGUCAGAAAAACCUGGGAUCACAUGCUUCCUUUGCCACUUACUUGCUAUAUAACCUUUGGCAAGUUACUCAAAUUCUCUAAGGCUCAGUUUCUUUCUCUGUAAAAUGGGGAUAAUACUACCAUAUUUUAUUACAUCUAAGGCACUAUGUGUUUUAAGAUACAGCAUUAUUUUCUGUGUAAUUCAUAAAGAAAAAUAAUGCUGCCAAUUAAACUGUGAUAUAACUUGAUUGAUUAUAAAUGCACCUGAUUUCAAACAUAUUAAAAUAUGAAAAAAGUGUAUGCUUUAGAAUUGAUAAAAUGCAAGGAUGCCUACCUUAUGUGGUUUUGAUAAAGUUUAAAUGAGAUAGCACACGUAAGACAGUAUAUGUAGCUUCCAUAUAGUAAGAGCCUAAUAAGUAUUAGCUAUUUUAUUAUUAGUGAUUAUGGUCCUCUUCUUGCAAACUCUUAAAAUGAGUCAGUAUAUUUUGCUUUCUUUUCUAAUAUUUGAAACUGAGUUAUAGAACAGAUCUACAAAACCAUUGUUGGUUUUUUUCAAAGAAGGAGGGAGGUAUUAACAAAAUGGCUGUCUCAGACCAGAUGAUAUAUAAUGACCUGUAGUUCUGUGCAAAAUGCUUAAUAAGGGUGACACUUGACAAAGGCCUUUUUGUGGAAAGUGUGCUUCCCACACUUCAUCAGUCUCUUAAGUGAAGGUAGAAUAAAGGCCCAAAUUAUGCUUAGUAAUUCAACAGGUUGAGAGCCAGCUUUUAAUGCACCUCUGCUCCGCUUGCCGGUUCCUGUGAUAACUGAUAAUUUGGUGACUAGCUGAGCCAUUGCUCCACAGUGAACUGAAGGAAGCCCUUUAUACUUGAGACUGGAAAUACUUCCGAUGACAAUGAAGAUGUAUUUGAAGCAAUGUGAUAUUGAUACAAAUUGCUCCAAAGGCACAGCUAUAAUACAACACCAUAGUAGGCCAAAGUCUGGACAAUGAGUGUAUCUGUUAAAUUGGCCAUAGGUAUAAGAAAGAAAGCCCAGUGCCCUUCAAUUACAGUCAUUGGUCACUUUACUAUGGGGAUAGGCAUUCUGAGAAAUGCAUCAUUAGGCAAUUUUGUCAUUGUGCAAACAUCAUAGAACACUUAACACAAACCUUGAUGGUAGAGCCUACUAUACACCUAGGCUAUAUGGUCUAGCCUGUUGCUCCCAGGCUACAAACUUGUACAGCAUGUUAUUGUACGGAAUACUGCAGGCAAUUGUAACACAAUGGUAUUUGUGUAUUUAAAUCUAUCUAAACAUUAAAAAGGUACGGUAAAAAUAUAAAGGAUUAAAAAUGUUAUACCUGUGUAGGGCAUUUACCAUGAGUGGAGCUUGCAGGACCGGGGGCUGUGCUGGGUGAGUCAGUGAGUGAGUGGUGAGUGAAGUGAAGGGCUAGGACCUUAUUGUCCACUACUGGAGACUCUAUAAACACUGUACACUUAGGCUACACCAAAUUUAUUUUUUAAAAUUUCUUCAGCAAUAUAUUAACCUUAGCUUACUGUGACUUUUUUAGUUUAUAAACAUUUAAGGUUUUUUUUUAACUUUUUGACUCUUUUAAUAACACUUAGCUUAAAACACAGAUACAUUAUAUAGCUAUACAAAAUAUUUUCUUUACAUUCUUAUUCUAUAAGCUUCCAUUUUUAAAAUUUUUAAUUUUUUACAUUUUAAACCUUUUUGCUGAAAACUAAGACAUAAAUACACACAUUAGCCUGGGCCUAUACAAGGUCAGGAUUAUCAAUAUCACUGUCUUCCACCUCCACAUCUUGUUCUACUGGAAGGUGUUCAGGGGCAAUAACAUGCAUGGAGCUGUCAUCUCCUAUGAUAGCAAUGCCUUCUUCUGAAAUACCUCUAAAGGACCUGCCUCAGGCUGUUUUAUGGUUAACUUUUAUUUUUACCUAAGUAGAAGGACUGUACUCUGAAACAACAAUAAAAAGUACAGUAUGGUAAGUACUAGUCAAUAGGAAUUUUUCAGCUCUAUUAUAAUCUUACAAGACCACCAUGGUACAUGACUGCAUAUGGAAGGACAGCUGGCCACUUAUGUGUCUCCUUGGCCACCUUGAGAGACUUCAUAAUACUUGCCCCUUUGCACACUCUUCUUGCUGCCUAAUUGCCCGUGUGCCUAGCUGGACUGUAAGCUCGCAGAGGGCAGUGACUGUGUGUCCUGCUCGCCAUUUUUUCUGCAGUUAACUAGCACUCAGAAGGUUAAAUCAUCACUUGGUGAAUGCAUGAACACUGUUUAACCUCAGGUAAAGAAGUGAAUUACAUAUGAUGAUGCCAGACUUUAUCAAAAUUCAAAUAAUAAUCAUUUUUUAUUCAGUACAUAUUCACCAAAAUUAUGCAUUGUGGUCUACCAUUAAUAAGACAUGUUCUUUAGGUUGUUAAACCAAGUGAGUUUCUGAAAAAUAGGUAUUGUGACAACUAGAAGUGCAUAUACAGAAAUUGUUCCAAACAACCUGUUCCUCAGUUUUACACCAUAUUAUGGGGCAGUAUAUGAACCUCUUCAUUUUCAAACACAUAAACACAGUGGGUCCCUUAAGCUUAUAGUCUCAACUACCUAGUCCGUAAAAUGGAAAUGAUAACAAUACCUCCUCAUGGGGUUGAUGUGAAGAUAAGAUGAAAUUGUAUCUUUUAAAUAAUAAUAUCCCUGGUACAUAAUCAGUAAUGAAUGAGUAGUAAAUAACAAUAUCAUUGUUUCCAUUGUAGUGGAAACUUGUGUGUUCACAGAUCUGGGUGCCAGGAAACUUUGGUUGUUCUUAGAGGGAGUGAGAUACUGCUCUUGGAUAUUUCUCUCUUGAUAUCUAAAAGACUUGGGUUUCUGGUGCAGCGACAUGUGUUCUUUGAUGGGCUCUGAUGAUACUAUAGCUCUUCAGCUACAUUUUUUUUUUUUUUUGAGACGAGGUCUCCCUCUGUUACACAGGCUGGAGUGCAGUGGCGUGAUCACUUCUCACUGCAGCCUUGCUCUCCCAGGCUAAAGCCAUCCUUCCUUCUCAGCCUCCCACGUAGCUGGGACUGCAGAUGUGUACCAGCACACUCAGCUGAUUUAUUGAUUUUUUUUUUU